rnacentral:snRNA from 1 species
AUCCUCACUUCGGCAGCACAUACACUAAAAUUGGAAAGAUACAGAGAAGAUUAGCAUGGCCCCUGCACAAGGAUGGCAUGCAAAUUUCUGAAGUGUUCCAUAUUAAA